UCCCUGCUGGCUAAGAUGGCAAAGAUUCUGCCUGCAACGCAGGAGACCUGGGUUCGAUCCUUAGGUCAGGAA
rnacentral:tRNA from 1 species